CCCUUUCCUUAAUUAGUCUUUUUGAUCAAAUUCUUAAUCUAUAUAGUAAUUAAAUUUAAUCUAUUAAAUUCACAUACAUUUCACACUCAAUUCAAUGCAUAACACCCUUAAAUUUUUAUUAUUCACACAUUUCUCUAAACUUUUACAUUUUUUACAAUUUAGUCCCUAAACCCAAAAUUCUGAAUUUAACAAAAUUUUACAAUUUCCCAAGUCAAUCGAAUUUCUUCCUAUGUUAGGGCAGUCCAUAAUUCUUCACAAUUUACAAAAAUUCUAGAAAGUUUUAAAUAUUUUAUCAAUUAAAC
rnacentral:lncRNA from 1 species